UUUUAAUUAUUUAUUUCGGCGCGAACCCUCCGCGGUGGCCGUGCGAAACGCGAGUACGCGUGCGAAAAAAAAAUUACGUGUAUACGGAAAACGCGAGAAACGUUCGAAUUGCCCCGGGUAAAGACCGAAAUAAUAUGAUCGUUACUGUCGUUGUCCGCGGACGAGAGGAGAGAAUCCCGGCGAAACGGAAACGGGCGCACGGUCGCGGACGGUAUAAUUUCGUUGACGCGGUUACCACACGGCUCGCGAUCGAGAAACGGCGAGAAACGAAGACGCGCGCG